CAUGUUGAAACUUCCAGUUCUCAUACAAUCACCAAAGUUAAGCAAUGUCAAACCUUGUCAGUACCUAGAUGGGUGACCACUUGGGAAUACCAAGUACUGUAAG